GCCCCGGUGGCCCAAUCGGCAGAGGCGUCCCGCUCAAAACGGGAAUCUGCGGGUUCGACUCCCGCCCGGGGUA
rnacentral:tRNA from 1 species